GUUUUUAUAGUUUAAAAAAAACAUCACAUUUUCAAUGUGAAAUUGAGAUUUCUCUUUAAAUACU
rnacentral:tRNA from 1 species